GACGAACGCUGGCGGCGUGCCUAAUACAUGCAAGUAGAACGCUGAAGGAGGAGCUUGCUUCUCUGGAUGAGUUGCGAACGGGUGAGUAACGCGUAGGUAACCUGCCUGGUAGCGGGGGAUAACUAUUGGAAACGAUAGCUAAUACCGCAUAAUAGCAGUUGUUGCAUGAUAACUGUUUGAAAGGUGCAAUUGCACCACUACCAGAUGGACCUGCGUUGUAUUAGCUAGUUGGUGGGGUAACGGCUCACCAAGGCGACGAUACAUAGCCGACCUGAGAGGGUGGUCGGCCACACUGGGACUGAGACACGGCCCAGACUCCUACGGGAGGCAGCAGUAGGGAAACUUCGGCAAUGGACGGAAGGCUGAACGAGCAACGCCGCGUGAGGGAAGAAGGGUUUCGGAUCGGAAAGCUCUGUUGUAAGAGAAGAACGAGUGUGAGAGUGGAAAGUUCACACUGUGACGGUAUCUUACCAGAAAGGGACGGCUAACUACGUG
rnacentral:rRNA from 1 species